rnacentral:rRNA from 1 species
CCUACGAGGGGCAGCAGUGAGGAAUAUUGGUCAAUGGGCGGAAGCCUGAACCAGCCAAGUAGCGUGCAGGAUGAAGGCCCUAGGGGUUGUAAACAGAUUGUAUACGGGAAUAACGCGCCUUACGUGUAGGGCUUUGCAUGGACCGUAUGAAUAAGGACCGGCAAAUUCACGGCCAGCAGCAGCGGUAAUACUGAAGGUCCGGGCGUGAUGCGGAUUUCGUGGGUGUAAAGGGCGCGUAGGCCGCAUGGCCAGCAUGCUGUGAAAUGUCCGGGCUCAACCCGGGGCGUGAAGCGCGAACUGGCGGGCUUGAGUCCGCGAGAGGCAGGUGGAAUUCGUGGUGUAGCGGUGAAAUGCUUAGAUAUGACGAGGAACACCGAUUGCGAAGGCAGCUUGCUGCAGCGGAACUGACGCUGAUGCUCGAAAGCGCGGGUAGCGAACAGGAUUAGAUACCCCGGUAGUC